GACGAACGCUGGCGGCGUGCUUAACACAUGCAAGUCGAACGGAAAGGCCCUGCUUUUGUGGGGUGCUCGAGUGGCGAACGGGUGAGUAACACGUGAGUAACCUGCCCUUGACUUUGGGAUAACUUCAGGAAACUGGGGCUAAUACCGGAUAGGAGCUCCUGCUGCAUGGUGGGGGUUGGAAAGUUUCGGCGGUUGGGGAUGGACUCGCGGCUUAUCAGCUUGUUGGUGGGGUAGUGGCUUACCAAGGCUUUGACGGGUAGCCGGCCUGAGAGGGUGACCGGCCACAUUGGGACCGAGAUACGGCCCAGACUCCUACGGGAGGCAGCAGUGGGGAAUAUUGCACAAAGGGCGGGAGCCUGAUGCAGCAACGCCGCGUGCGGGAUGACGGCCUUCGGGGUGUAAACCGCUUUCGCCUGUGACGAAGCGUGAGUGACGGUAAUGGGUAAAGAAGCACCGGCUAACUACGUG
rnacentral:rRNA from 1 species